rnacentral:rRNA from 1 species
GACGAACCGUGCGAACGUUGUUCGGAAUCACUGGGCUUAAAGGGCGCGUAGGCGGACCAUCAAGUCCGGGGUGAAAUCCUCCGGCUUAACCGGAGAAUUGCCUGGGAUACUGGUGGUCUUGAGGGAGGUAGGGGCACGCGGAACUUCCGGUGGAGCGGUGAAAUGCGUUGAUAUCGGAAGGGACGCCGGUGGCGAAAGCGGCGUGCUGGCCCUCUUCUGACGCUGAGGCGCGAAAGCCAGGGGAGCGAACGGG